UUGUAGCAACAGCAGCCAAAAUCUGCACAGGAGAGGAAUCUGUCUUCUCACACACCCUGCUCCAUGCCUCCACCUCACGUUUCCUCUCAUGGGGCAUGGGGCAUGCAAUUAGACUUUUGUUAGCCAAUGCUAUGUACUACGUCGAUGUUGCUCCUGUGCAGGGACAACAUCAACUAACGGAGCCUGUGAGUAUUGCAUCUCUAGCCAUGUAAGUGCAGCAUGUAUCAUCCUGAUUUUGUUCUCCCCUGCCGUCAAGGAGAGCAAGGAGGUUUCAGGGGGAGAAGAACAUGCCAAUAGCCACGAUCGGGCUGGCGCGUCUCCUCGUCAGGUGAUGUGAUUCGGACUUCACAUGGCAAGAUUUGCUCUAGGAGAGCUACAUGAUCCGAAUCUCGGCCUUGCCCUAGCAUAGCAUGGAUCAGUUAAAGGCAGAUCGGCUUAUAGGAGCAAGAUCUGUUUUUGUUUCUUUCACGGAAAAGGAGAGAGAGGGUCGAUAGGAGUUGUGUUGGACAUGGUUUCCACAGUUUAUACGUUCAACCUACGGCUUUAGAUAGAUUUCUAUGGCUUGAUUGCACGUCUACACGGGCACCCUGCCAGGAAAGUCCAUUGGCCACGUCGAUGUUCU
rnacentral:lncRNA from 1 species